GAUGAACGCUGGCGGCGUGCCUAAUACAUGCAAGUCGAGCGAACAGAUAAGGAGCUUGCUCCUUUGACGUUAGCGGCGGACGGGUGAGUAACACGUGGGUAACCUACCUAUAAGACUGGGAUAACUUCGGGAAACCGGAGCUAAUACCGGAUAACAUUUGGAACCGCAUGGUUCUAAAGUGAAAGAUGGUUUUGCUAUCACUUAUAGAUGGACCCGCGCCGUAUUAGCUAGUUGGUAAGGUAACGGCUUACCAAGGCAACGAUACGUAGCCGACCUGAGAGGGUGAUCGGCCACACUGGAACUGAGACACGGUCCAGACGCCUACGGGAGGCAGCAGUAGGGAAUCUUCCGCAAUGGGCGAAAGCCUGACGGAGCAACGCCGCGUGAGUGAUGAAGGGUUUCGGCUCGUAAAACUCUGUGAUUAGGGAAGAACAAAUGUGUAAGUAACUGUGCACGUCUUGACGGUACCUAAUCAGAAAGCCACGGCUAACUACGUG
rnacentral:rRNA from 1 species